rnacentral:rRNA from 1 species
GACGGGGGGGGCAAGUGUUCUUCGGAAUCACUGGGCGUAAAGGGCGUGUAGGCGGUCAAGUAAGUGGAAUGUGAAAGCCCCCGGCUUACCCGGGGAUCUGCAUCCCAAACUGCUUGGCUUGAGUACGGGAGAGGAUAGGGGAAUUCCUGGUGUAGCGGUGAAAUGCGUAGAUAUCAGGAGGAACACCGGUGGCGAAGGCGCCUAUCUGGCCCGAUACUGACGCUGAGGCGCGAAAGCUAGGGGAGCAAACGGG